rnacentral:rRNA from 1 species
UGGCGGACGGGUGAGUAACGCGUGGGGUAACCUGCCCUGUACAGGGGGAUAACAGUUAGAAAUGACUGCUAACACCGCAUAAGCGCACGGUAAGGCAUCUUAGUGUGUGAAAAUAUUAAUAGGUACAGGAUGGGCCCGCGUCUGAUUAGCCAGUUGGCAGGGUAACGGCCUACCAAAGCGACGAUCAGUAGCCGGCUUGAGAGAGUGAACGGCCACAUUGGGACUGAGACACGGCCCAAACUCCUACGGGAGGCAGCAG